rnacentral:misc_RNA from 1 species
GUCUGUCGAACACCUGCUUUUCUUUUACCCAUUUGCGAAGGCUACUUGGUUUGGGUCUGCUCCAGGAUUUUCUACAAGGGAUGAUGGUUUCAUUUCUGUUGCUCAUUGGCUUUAGCAUCUUAUGGAGAUUGGAUCUAUGGAUGGCUAUGAGAUUUGUCUGGCUAGUUUUAUUUGUUGGAAUAUCUGAAAAGCAAGAAAUGAAAUGGUGUUUAAUUUUCAGCAGCUGGAUCCUUUGCUUAUUAUUAGGAAGGCCUACAAAGGUUUUCAGGAAUUGAAUGCUAUGGUAUCUUCUCAUCAUCAUCCUAUGCCAUCUACUUAGACCAAUUUCAGCAUUAGACACCAAGGUUGGACUCCUUCACCUAUAGGAUGUGUAAAAAUAAAUGUUGAUGCGUCAUUCGAUUAUGCUUCUUCAAUUGUGAGCUAUGGUAUUAUGGCAAGAAAUUCUACUGGAGCUAUGAUUGAUGGUUUUGUAGCUUCUUUUAUUAGCCUCUCACCUCUAGUAUCAGAAGGAAUAAAUAUGAAAGUAGCUAUUCUGUUGUUGCAU